AGAAAUUGAGGUGAAGUGGAAAAAGGAGGUGGUUCCAGGGGGGUUUCUGCAUCUUCAGAUCAGACCAAUGUUGCAGGUUAGAGGAGGGAUUUCCCUGACCUCCAUUUCCUCCCAAACCUUUUCCUCUCCAGGAAGGUGGAGGGGGACGUUUCCCCCUUUGCAAGUGUUACAGAUUCUAUCCGAGGACGUGAACAGAAGGUUUCCCAGCACAGAGCGUCCUGAAAUUACUUUAUAUUCCCCCCCUCCUUGUUUCAUCUAAUCAAAAUAGCAGCAUUAGGCUCACCCAUUCUCCCUGCCCACCCCUCAGCCCUGGGGGAGGGAGCGAGGCGGGCGGGCCAUCUUGCCUGACCCCCUUUGAGAGCACCUUGCAGGCCUGAGCCAAGGAGCUGUCUUCCAAAUCUCCUCUUUCCUCAGCGGCCCAUGCUUCAGUGGCAAGAGCCAGCUGCCUCCCUGCCUGCCAGCAACUGCCAAGCUCUUCCAGAACCCACAUCUAGGCCCGGCCUCAUUUACAAAUAUGCAAAUUUGCAUCUUUUCUGGUAUGCAAAUGGAGACAUGACAAAUAGCUAAUUAGGGUCAAAAGAAGCACUCUGAACCAAUUAGUUGUAGGGUCUAUCCCUUUCUCCUGGGAGAAGACUGGGCCUUCCUGCUCCCUUCCCAGCACUGACUCCCAAAUGCCCACACACUCUGGCAUCCUGUCCUAACCAUCCACCCCAGCAUAGGGAGACUUGGGAGGACUUGGAUGUAAAUAGCUUUUGAAAACUGUACUACAG
rnacentral:lncRNA from 10 species